rnacentral:rRNA from 1 species
UACGGGGGGGGUAAGCGUUGUUCGGAAUUACUGGGCGUAAAGGGCUCGUAGGCGGCCAACUAAGUCAUACGUGAAAUCCCUCAGCUUAACUGGGGAACUGCGUGUGAUACUGGAUGGCUUGGAUUUGGGAGAGGGAUGCGGAAUUCCAGGUGUAGCGGUGAAAUGCGUAGAUAUCUGGAGGAACACCGGUGGCGAAAGGCGGCAUCUGGACCAAUAUUGACGCUGAGGAGCGAAAGCCAGGGGAGCAAAACGGGG